UGGGGAAUAUUGGACAAUGGGCGAAAGCCUGAUCCAGCCAUGCCGCGUGUGUGAAGAAGGUCUUCGGAUUAUAAAGCACUUUAAGUUGGGAGGAAGGGCAGUAAGCGAAUACCUUGCUGUUUUGACGUUACCGACAGAAUAAGCACCGGCUAACUCUGUGCCAGCAGCCGCGGUAAUACAGAGGGUGCAAGCGUUAAUCUGAUUUACUGGGCGUAAAGCGAGCGUAGGCGGCUAAUUAAGUCAAAUGUGAAAGCCCCGAGCUUAACUUGGGAAUUGCAUGCGAUACUGGUUAGCUAGAGUGGGGGAGAGGAGGGUAGAAUUCCAGGUGUAGAGGUGAAAUGCGUAGAGAUCUGGGGGAAUACCGAUGGCGAAGGCAGCGAUCUGGCCUAACACUGACGCUGAGGUGCGAAAGCAUGGGGAGAAAACAGG
rnacentral:rRNA from 1 species